GACGAACCGUACGAACGUUAUUCGGAAUCACUGGGCUUAAAGGGUGCGUAGGCGGCUCGACAAGUUGGGUGUGAAAUCCCUCGGCUCAACCGAGGAACUGCGCCCAAAACUGUCGUGCUCGAGGGAGACAGAGGUGAGCGGAACUUAGGGUGGAGCGGUGAAAUGCGUUGAUAUCAUAAGGAACACCGGUGGCGAAAGCGGCUCACUGGGUCUCUUCUGACGCUGAGGCACGAAAGCUAGGGUAGCGAACGGG
rnacentral:rRNA from 1 species